GAGGUUUUGAACUUAAAUCCUUUGGUGGGGAGCUUGUUUAAGGGCUACUUGGAUGUAUGGUUUGCCAAGGUACUCACAAGCCUAUGCUGAUGAGGUGGACAAAUUUAUUACAAUCGCAGUGAAUCAUGCAAAGACGUUGUCAACAGGAAAUAAUUGUUCAGUUAUUUGUCCCUGUAAAGAUUGCAAGAACCACUUAGCAACUUAUGAUGUGGAAAUCAUCAGAUCACAUCUGAUUAGGCGAGGAUUUGUCCCGAACUACACAGUAUGGCUUCAUCAUGGUGAAGUAAUGUUUCUUGAUGGCAACGAUGAUGACCAAGAAGACGAUGUUGAAGAAGGC